GCCUGGGCAUGGUGGCUGGUGCCUGUAGUCCCAGCUACUCAGGAGGCUGAGGUGGGAGGAUCACUUGAGCCAGGAGUUCUGGGCUAUAGUACGCUAUGCCAAUCGGGUGUCCACACUUUCGGCAUCAAUAUGGUGACCUCCCAGGAGCAGGGGACCACCAGGUUGCCUAAGGAGGGGUGAACCAGCCCAGGUCGGAAACGGAGCAGGUCAAAACUCCCGUGCUGAUCAGUAGUGGGAUCACACGUGUGAAUCGCCACUGCACUCCAGCCUGGGCAACAUAGGGAGACCCCAUCUCU
rnacentral:SRP_RNA from 1 species